AUUGAACGCUGGCGGCAUGCCUUACACAUGCAAGUCGAACGGUAACGCGGGGCAACCUGGCGACGAGUGGCGAACGGGUGAGUAAUACAUCGGAACGUGCCCAGUAGUGGGGGAUAGCCCGGCGAAAGCCGGAUUAAUACCGCAUACGACCUACGGGUGAAAGCAGGGGAUCGCAAGACCUUGCGCUAUUGGAGCGGCCGAUGUCAGAUUAGGUUGUUGGUGGGGUAAAAGCCUACCAAGCCGACGAUCUGUAGCUGGUCUGAGAGGACGACCAGCCACACUGGGACUGAGACACGGCCCAGACUCCUACGGGAGGCAGCAGUGGGGAAUUUUGGACAAAGGGCGCAAGCCUGAUCCAGCCAUUCCGCGUGAGUGAAGAAGGCCUU
rnacentral:rRNA from 1 species